rnacentral:rRNA from 1 species
UAGGAUUCCUACGGGAGGCAGCAGUUAGGAAUCUUGCGCAAUGGGCGAAAGCCUGACGCAGCAACGCCGCGUGCGGGAUGAAGGCCUUCGGGUUGUAAACCGCUUUCAGUGGGGACGAAAUUGACGGUACCCACAGAAGAAGCCCCGGCUAACUACGUGCCAGCAGCCGCGGUAACACGUAGGGGGCAAGCGUUGUCCGGAUUUAUUGGGCGUAAAGAGCUCGUAGGCGGUUCGGUAAGUCGGGUGUGAAAACUCAGGGCUCAACCCUGAGACGCCACCCGAUACUGCUGUGACUCGAGUCCGGUAGGGGAGCAUGGAAUUCCUGGUGUAGCGGUGAAAUGCGCAGAGUCAGGAGGAACACCAGUGGCGAAGGCGGUGCUCUGGGCCGGAACUGACGCUGAGGAGCGAAAGCGUGGGUAGCAAACAGGAUUAGAUACCCUGGUAGA